rnacentral:rRNA from 1 species
UACAGAGGGUGCAAGCGUUGUUCGGAAUUACUGGGCGUAAAGCGCGCGCAGGCGGAUCCUGUAAGUCUGGAGUGAAAUCUCACCGCUCAACGGUGAGGCUGCUUUGGAUACUGCGGAUCUGGAGACCGGUAGAGGCUGGUAGAAUUGCAGGUGUAGCGGUGGAAUGCGUAGAGAUCCGGAAGAACACCAGUGGCGAAGGCGGCUCACUGGACGACUGUUGACGCUGAGGUGCGAAAGCGUGGGGAGCAAACAGG